CAUCAAACAUUACAACUUCCUAUACUCUCUCUCUCUCUAAAAUCGUUUGAACCAAGCACACCACCAUCUUCACAUUUUCAAAAUUCAAACACUAGAGAUUAUUGCAAGUAUGGAGGUCCAUGGAUGAAUCAAACUACUAGGGUGUUUAGAAAAGCUAGUUGGAGCUCUUUUGGUGGAACUUAAAGCCUAAAACCAUCAAGAUUUCUUAUCAUCAUCUUUGUUUCCUUGCAAAAUUUGUCGAGAAACGAACCGCGAACAAGGAAUCGAAUAGAGAUUUGCAUGGAACGCAAAUCUGAGAUUAGUGGACGGCUUUGGAAAAAUAUGUUCAAGUGGUUAUCAAGAACGCAAGCUUUUGUGAUGUCAUCUGUUUUCGGUUGUUAUGUUUUGAACUUUGAAUAAUGUGGUUAAAGUUGUUGUUGUUUCAAGUUUCAAACAAGAAAUAUGUAAUGUAAAUUAUGAUUUCGAAUCAAA